AAGGUAAGGCUUAAACAUGCAAGUCGAGCGGUAACAGGAGAAGCUUGCUUCUCGCUGACGAGCGGCGGACGGGUGAGUAAUACUUAGGAAUCUACCUAGUAGUGGGGGAUAGCUCGGGGAAACUCGAAUUAAUACCGCAUACGACCUACGGGAGAAAGGGGGCAACUUGUUGCUCUCGCUAUUAGAUGAGCCUAAGUCGGAUUAGCUAGAUGGUGGGGUAAAGGCCUACCAUGGCGACGAUCUGUAGCUGGUCUGAGAGGAUGAUCAGCCACACCGGGACUGAGACACGGCCCGGACUCCUACGGGAGGCAGCAGUGGGGAAUAUUGGACAAUGGGGGCAACCCUGAUCCAGCCAUGCCGCGUGUGUGAAGAAGGCCUUUUGGUUGUAAAGCACUUUAAGCAGUGAAGAAGACUCCAUGGUUAAUACCCAUGGACGAUGACAUUAGCUGCAGAAUAAGCACCGGCUAACUCUGUGCCAGCAGCCGCGGUAAUACAGAGGGUGCAAGCGUUAAUCGGAAUUACUGGGCGUAAAGCGAGCGUAGGUGGCUUGAUAAGUCAGAUGUGAAAGCCCCGGGCUUAACCUGGGAACGGCAUCUGAUACUGUUAGGCUAGAGUAGGUGAGAGGAAGGUAGAAUUCCAGGUGUAGCGGUGAAAUGCGUAGAGAUCUGGAGGAAUACCGAUGGCGAAGGCAGCCUUCUGGCAUCAUACUGACACUGAGGUUCGAAAGCGUGGGUAGCA
rnacentral:rRNA from 1 species